GGAGAGGUGGCCGAGUGGCUUAAGGCGACGGUUUGCUAAACCGUUGUAGGGGGUAAACCCCUACCUCGGGUUCGAAUCCCGACCUCUCCG
rnacentral:tRNA from 1 species